rnacentral:rRNA from 1 species
AGUGAACGCUGGCGGCAGGCCUAACACAUGCAAGUCGAACGAAGUCUUCGGACUUAGUGGCGGACGGGUGAGUAACACGUGGGAACGUGCCUUUAGGUUCGGAAUAACUCAGGGAAACUUGUGCCAAUACCGAAUGUGCCCUUCGGGGGAAAGAUUUAUCGCCUUUAGAGCGGCCCGCGUCUGAUUAGCUAGUUGGUGAGGUAAAGGCUCACCAAGGCUACGAUCAGUAGCUGGUCUGAGAGGAUGACCAGCCACAUUGGGACUGAGACACGGCCCAAACUCCUACGGGAGGCAGCAGUGGGGAAUCUUGCGCAAUGGGCGAAAGCCUGACGCAGCCACGCCGCGUGGAUGAUGAAGGUCUUAGGAUUGUAAAAUCCUUUCACCGGUGAAGAUAAUGACUGUAGCCGGAGAAGAAGCCCCGGCUAACUUCGUGCCAGCCGCCGCAGUAAGAC